ACCUGGUUGAUCCUGCCAGUAGUCAUAUGCUUGUCUCGCAGAUUAAGCCAUGCAUGCCUAAGUGUAAAUAUUUUACAGUGAAACUGCGGAUGGCUCAUUAUAACAGUUAUCGUUUGAUUGGACGGAGUCAAACGGAUAUCUGUGGUAAUUCUACAGUUAAUACGUAUCACUUCUUCAUUGAAGUGUUGCAUAUUACUGUGAAUAUUCGACGAAGGUAACUUCGUCUUGCCCGAAUACUUUUAUGCACGAAUCGCAUAACUAUGCGAAAGUCCAUUAAAGUUUCUGACCUAUCAGGUUCCGACGGUAGGGUAUUGGCUUACCGUGCCGAUAACGGGUAACGGGGAAUUAGGGUUUGAUUCCGGAGAGGGAGCUUGAGAGAUGGCUACCACAUCUAAGGAUGGCAGCAGGCGCGUAAAUUACCGAUCCCUGACACAGGGAGGUAGUAAACAGAAAUAAUGACGCAUGAUUUUAAUUGUGCGAUCGGAAUGAAUGGUUUUUAAACUAAGCCAUGAAAACGAUUGGAGGGCAAGUCUUGUGCCAGCAGCCGCGGUAAUACCAGCUCCAAUAGCGUAUAUUAUUGAUGUUGCAGUUGAAACGUUCGUAGUCGACUUUCGUCGGCUUUUGGGUAUCUGAACUCUACGAGUUUUGCUUACCUUUUCGAGCUGAGAGGGGUAUAAGAGGUUUCACAGGCGUUUGCGUUUGUGAUCCUUUUAUAUGUUACUUUGAGUAAAUCGGCGUGUUCUACGCAGGCAAUCGCCUGAACGAUUUACCAUAGUAUAAUGACAUUAUGAAAACUUCUUUUUGUUUAUUCAAAGAUGUUUUCAAUAAUGACGAGAACGGCUGAGGGCAUUCGUAUUCAACUGUUAGAGGUGAAAUUCUUUGAUCAGUUGAGGACGAACAAUGGCGAAAGCAUCUGCCAAGGGCGUUUCUUUCGAUCAAGAACGAAAGUUAGGUGAUCGAAGAUGAUUAGACACCGUUGUAGUCCUAACUAUAAAGUUUACUAUCCAAGAAUUGGAUGGGUGACUUUACGCCUUUCCAGUACUUUUUGAGAAAUCAUAAGUCUCUGAGUUCUGGGGGGAGUAUAGUCGCAAGGCUGAAACUUAAAAGAAUUGACGGAAGGCCACCACCAGGAGUGGAGCUUGCGGCUUAUUUUGACUCAACACGGGAAAACUUACCAGGACAAGACAUAAGAAGGAUUGACAGAUUGAUCGCUCUUUCUUGAUUUUAUGGGUGGUGGUGCAUGGCCGUUCUUAGUUCGUGGAGUAAUUUGUCUGGUCAAUUCCGUUAACGAACGAGACCUCAACUAACUAAUUGGUGAUGUUUAUGUUUUAAAUAUAAAUAUCCGUGUUAGAAGGACCAUGUGUGUUUAACACAAGGAAGCGUGAGGCAAUAACAGGUCUGUGAUGCCCUUAGAUAUCCUGGGCAGCACGCGUGCUACAGUGAUAUAUAUAAUGUGUUACACCACCUGAGAGGGCGGUGCAAUCAUAAAUGUAUAUCAAUACAGGGAUUGCUUGUUGGAAUGUCAAGCAUGAACGAGGAAUUCCUAGUAAGCGUGUAUCAUUAGUUCGCGUUGAUUACGUCCCUGCCCUUUGUACACACCGCCCGUCGCGUCUAUUGAUUAGGUAGCAUCAUGAGUGAGGCAGAGGAGAAAUAUUUUUAGAUUCGUCUAAUUUUAUUUUACUGAAGCCCCGCGAAUGGUGCUACCCAGAAACAGACAAAGUCGUAACAUGGUUUCUGUAGGUGAACCUGCAGAAGGAUCAA
rnacentral:rRNA from 1 species